rnacentral:tRNA from 1 species
CGCCUCCACCUCGAGCCCCUGGCCCUCACUCGGCUCCGCCCACGAGAGGCCCUGCUGGUUCUUCCCUCCCCUGGCUUGUCCCCUGCGCAGACCCCUCUGGUGCCACCGCUCUCCUGCACUCAGCUCGUUGGGAAUCCCAACCCAGAUGUUCCUUCCUCCAACAAGGAGGAAGCCCAUGUCCCCACCCACCUACAUUCACAGGGUGUCCUGAGUCUGAUCCAGGCGGAGACUUGAAAGGAGCCUGGACCCUGCCCUUCUUAGGCCCACACCCCACCAAGCCCUCUACAGUCCCCAUCCCCUCUACAAGUUCCUGCCCAACACGGAAGCCCGCACUGGGAUCUCCAGGUGAGCUCCGUGCCCCAGCCUCAGGUAGGCUCUUCCUCUUCUGUCAAGACUCAGAGCACCCUCCGGGUGAUUUCUUAAUGUGCAUUUUUUGCAAAGUGUUGUGCCCUGUCACUUGAGGGAGCUCCUUUCAACCCAGGUCUGACAUCUCUUCAGCUGCAGACCCUGCUCAGGCUGGUCUGAGCCUCCUGCUCUGGGAGGAAAGCAGGGUCCAGGGUCCAGCCUUCCAGGAUCAGUCGGUGCUUGCUGGGACUUGGAGUAUACGACCAGGAAUCGCCCUGGAGAGAUUCAGCCUCCACAUAAAAAGGUCUUGGGGUCCAGGUGUGACCUGACUUAUUCACAUGUGAGGGAGCAGAAGAAUGGGUUUGCGGGUUUCACAGGCAUAGACUUUUGGUCAGUUGUGUGCAAAGCUGCUCCAAGGCAGGGGGGAGGGAAGGGAAUGUUUAUCAACAGCCUCCUGUGGGCCUAGGGUAUAGCUCAGUGGUGGAGAGCUUGCCUAGCAGUGCCCUAGGGCUCCUUCCAGCACCAAAACAACAAAAAGGCGAGGUUCCACCAACAGGUGAUAUCCUGUUUUUUUUUUUUGCUCUGGUUCUAGGCAUGGGAAGCAAGUUCUACCAUUGAGCUUCACUCCACGUGUGAUUUCCUUGAAUCCUCACCACCAUCUAGUUUUUUGGGUGUUUGUUGUUGUUGUUUUGUACUGGGAUUGAACUCAGAGGCUCUUAAAACCCUGAGGUAUACACCCAACCCUUUUUAUUUUUAUUUUGAGAUAGGGUCUCACCAAGUUGGAGAGGCUGGCCUCAAACUUAAACUUGCAAUCCUCCUGCCUCAGACUCCUGAGUCACUGGGAUUAUAGGCAUAUGCCACCUACCUGGCCUACCACCAUAUGGUUUGCAAAUCAUGAAACUAAGCCAGAGGCUCAGAAGGAUGAAGCCACUUACCAGCAGGUCAAGAGCACACUAGGGAUUAAAAAAAUCAAAGUGGAGGCUGGGGAUAUAGCUCAGUUGGUAGAGUGCUUGCCUUGCAUGUACAAGGCCUGGGUUUAAUCCCCAGCACCACCCCCCCCCCCCAAAAAAAAAAGAAAAAUCAAAGUGGUGCUAGGGCUGUAGCUCAGUGGUUGAGUGCUGCCCGGCAUGCAUGAGGUCCUGGGUUCAAUCUCCAGCACCACUAAAAAAUAUAAAUGAAUGAAAAUAAAAAUAAAUUUUAAAAAAUCAAAGUGGAUAAUGAUUUCUCCCCAAUCCAUAUGCUCUUAUUCCUUGUCCCCAGGAUAGGACCCCCCCCACCCCCACCCCUGCACUGUUGAACGGACCUAAUGUGAAUUUUGAGUGGAAAGGACUUUAGAACCCAAUGAAUCCAGAUUUGAACCCUGGCUCUGCCCCCUCAAGAUUGGGAAAGUCGUAUGAAGAUGUGAAUUUGGUGUCAACAUACCUUAUAUAUAAUCAGAGAUAUGAUAAAUAAUAGUGUAUUAAGAAUUGUAAUACAAAAAUUAAUUAAUUAAUUAAUUAAAAUUUUAAAAAAAGAUUGGGAAACUCAUUUUGUGUCUGUGAACUCAGUUUUCUCCUGUGUGAAAUAGGAAUUAAUGAUCCCAGUGUCUCAGGUAUACAGUAAGAACUAAAUUCCUUUUAAUUCAACAAAUUAUUUAUGGCUAUUAAUUACACAUCAAGUCCUCCUCUUAUAAACCAGGCCUUCUUCUAGAUGCUGAGGAUAUAGCAAUGAAUAAAACAAGGUCCUUAGCCAGGUGUGGUGUCCCAUGCCUGUAAUACCAACAAGUUGAGAGGCUGAGGCAGGAGGAUCACAAGUUCA